UACGUAGGGUGCGAGCGUUAAUCGGAAUUACUGGGCGUAAAGCGUGCGCAGGCGGUCUGUUAAGACCGAUGUGAAAUCCCCGGGCUUAACCUGGGAACUGCAUUGGUGACUGGCAGGCUUUGAGUGUGGCAGAGGGGGGUAGAAUUCCACGUGUAGCAGUGAAAUGCGUAGAGAUGUGGAGGAAUACCGAUGGCGAAGGCAGAUCACCAGCCGUAAUCUGACGCUGAGGCACGGAGCUUGUGGUAGCGAUAGGG
rnacentral:rRNA from 1 species